rnacentral:sRNA from 1 species
ACAAUGUUCACUGUCGAGGUUUUGUUCAGAUUGAUAAAAAGAAUUUCCUUGGGGGAUAUUUCCCCAAGGUAGGUACCUAUGGUGGACCAACUUAUGAGGUUCUCAUUUCUAUUACUCAGGAUCCAAAGACAAAAAACUGGUGGAUAAGUGCAGGAAAUGUAAACAUUGGAUAUUAUCCAGCAGCAUUGUUCUCGAACUUAGGAUCAGCAUCGAUUGUUGGAUGGGGUGGGAGAACACAAGCUAAGGUUGGAAGUCCUAGUCCUCCAAUGGGAUCUGGGCAUUUUCCUGAUGGAAACAAAGACCAUGCAUGUUAUUUUAGAUCUCCCAUGGUUCAAGACGCAUCAAGAGAAAUUUAUAGACCUGAAUCUAUUAUGACCAGACCCUUUUCUGACAACACCAAAUGUUAUGAUGUUUAUUACUAUAAAGAUCAUGGAGGGGUUUAUGAUGAAGGGCUUAUCCAGUUUGGAGGACCCGGAACCAAUUGUGG